rnacentral:rRNA from 1 species
AUGGUAGGAUAGAGGCCUACCAUGGUGGUAACGGGUAACGGGGUGUUAGGGCACGACACCGGAGAGGGAGCCUGAGAAACGGCUACCACAUCCAAGGAUGGCAGCAGGCGCGCAAAUUACCCAAUCCCGACACGGGGAGGUAGUGACAAUAAAUAACAAUACGGGGUUCUUUAGGAUCUCGUAAUUGGAAUGAGUACAAUUUAAAUCUCUUAACGAGGAACAAUUGGAGGGCAAGUCUGGUGCCAGCAGCCGCGGUAAUUCCAGCUCCAAUAGCGUAUAUUAAAGUUGUUGCAGUUAAAAAGCUUGUAGUUGAAUUUNGGGGUCAGUAGGUCGGUCGUGCCACUGGUAUGAACUGGUUUUACUGAUUCCUCCCUCUUGAAGAACUGUAAUGCCAUUAAUUUGGUGUUGCAGGGAAUCAGGACUGUUACUUUGAAAAAAUUAGAGUGUUUAAAGCAGGCUUUAGCUUGAAUACAUUAGCAUGGAAUAAUGAAAUAGGACGUUUGAUCCUAUUUUGUUGGUUUCUAGGAUUGACGUAAUGAUUAAUGGGGAUAGUUGGGGGCAUUAGUAUUCAAUUGUCAGAGGUGAAAUUCUUGGAUUUAUUGAAGACUAACUACUGCGAAAGCAUUUGCCAAGGAUGUUUUCAUUAAUCAAGAACGAAAGUUAGGGGAUCGAAGACGAUCAGAUACCGUCGUAGUCUUAACCAUAAACUAUGCCGACUAGGGAUCGGAUGAUGUUAAUUUUUUAAUGACUCAUUCGGCGCCUUACGGGAAACCAAAGUGUUUGGG